GACGAACGCUGGCGGCGUGCUUAACACAUGCAAGUCGAACAGAGGCGAACGGGUGAGUAAUACGUGGGAACCGGCCCUACUUUUUGGGAUAAACCUUGGAAACGGGGUCUAAUACCUACUAAUGGGGGAUGGGCUCGCGGCCUAUCAGCUUGUUGGGGGGGUGAUGGCCUACCAAGGCGACGAUCAGUAGCGGGUCUGAGAGGAUGAUCCGCCACACUGGGACUGAGACACGGCCCAGACUCCUACGGGAGGCAGCAGUGGGGAAUUUUGGACAAUGGGGGCAAGCCUGAUCCAGCCAUGCCGCGUGUCUGAAGAAGGCCUUCGGGUUGUAAAGGACUUUUGUUAGGGAAGCGGUACCUAAAGAAUAAGCACCGGCUAACUACGUGCCAGCAGCCGCGGUAAUAC
rnacentral:rRNA from 1 species